NGACCUCAAAUCAGGUAGGACUACCCGCUGAACUUAAGCAUAUCAAUAAGCGGAGGAAAAGAAACUAACAAGGAUUCCCCUAGUAACUGCGAGUGAAGCGGGAAAAGCUCAAAUUUGAAAUCUGGCGGUCUUUUUUUUGACUGUCCGAGUUGUAGUCUGGAGAGUGUUACCUGU
rnacentral:rRNA from 1 species